UACGUAGGGUGCGAGCGUUAAUCGGAAUUACUGGGCGUAAAGCGUGCGCAGGCGGUUUUGUAAGCCAGAUGUGAAAUCCCCGGGCUUAACCUGGGAAUGGCAUUUGGGACUGGCGGGCUAGAGUAUGGCAGAGGGGGGUAGAAUUCCACGUGUAGCAGUGAAAUGCGUAGAGAUGUGGAGGAAUACCGAUGGCGAAGGCAGCCCCCUGGGCCAAUACUGACGCUCAUGCACGAAAGCGUGGGGAGCAAACAGG
rnacentral:rRNA from 1 species